GUUCUGUGAUGAUCAACCCCAUGCGUGUCAUCUGACCCCACAAACCCCUGUUUUCUUCCCAGCCAGCGUUCUGCUGUACUGGGGAAGGAUUGCAGGGUAUUGGGAACAAUGAUCACAGCUGAGAAUGUUCCUGAGAAC